CCUACGGGAGGCAGCAGUGGGGGAUAUUGCACAAUGGGGGAAACCCUGAUGCAGCGACGCCGCGUGGGUGAAGAAGCGCCUCGGCGCGUAAAGCCCUGUCGGCAGGGAAGAAAAUGACGGUACCUGGACAAGAAGCCCCGGCUAACUACGUUCCAGCAGCCGGGGUGAUAAGUAGGGGGCAAGGGUUAUCCGGAUUUACUGGGUGGAAAGGGGGCGCGGACGGGGAUGGAAGCCCGGAGUGAAAGGCCGGGGCCCAACCCCGGGACUGCCCUUGGAACUGGGUGGCUAGAGUGCAGGAGGGGCAGGCGGAAUUCCUGGUGUAGCGGUGAAAUGCGUAGAUAUCAGGAGGAACACCGGUGGCGAAGGCGGCCUGCUGGACUGCAACUGACGUUGAGGCUCGAAAGCGUGGGGAGCAAACAGGAUUAGAUACCCUAGUAGUC
rnacentral:rRNA from 1 species